UUAAUUGAAGCCAAAAAAGAGGCAUAUUACUGUUAAUAAUAUUAAUGAAUAAUUUCCAAUUAAA
rnacentral:tRNA from 1 species